rnacentral:rRNA from 1 species
GAUGAACGCUGGCGGCGUGCCUAAUACAUGCAAGUCGAGCGAACAGACGAGGAGCUUGCUCCUCUGACGUUAGCGGCGGACGGGUGAGUAACACGUGGAUAACCUACCUAUAAGACUGGGAUAACUUCGGGAAACCGGAGCUAAUACCGGAUAAUAUAUUGAACCGCAUGGUUCAAUAGUGAAAGACGGUUUUGCUGUCACUUAUAGAUGGAUCCGCGCCGCAUUAGCUAGUUGGUAAGGUAACGGCUUACCAAGGCAACGAUGCGUAGCCGACCUGAGAGGGUGAUCGGCCACACUGGAACUGAGACACGGUCCAGACUCCUACGGGAGGCAGCAGUAGGGAAUCUUCCGCAAUGGGCGAAAGCCUGACGGAGGACCGCCGCGUGAGUGAUGAAGGUCUUCGGAUCGUAAAACUCUGUUAUUAGGGAAGAACAAAUGUGUAAGUAACUAUGCACGUCUUGACGGUACCUAAUCAGAAAGCCACGGCUAACUACGUG